rnacentral:rRNA from 1 species
CCCAGACUCCUACGGGAGGCAGCAGUGGGGGAUAUUGCACAAUGGGGGGAACCCUGAUGCAGCGACGCCGCGUGAGUGAAGAAGUAUUUCGGUAUGUAAAGCUCUAUCAGCAGGGAAGAAAUACUGAUCAUAGGGUCAGCAGACGGUACUUGACUAAGAAGCCCCGGCUCACUACGUGCCAGCAGCCGCGGUAAUACGUAGGGGGCAAGCGUUAUCCGGAUUUACUGGGUGUAAAGGGAGCGUAGACGGCAGCGCAAGUCUGAAGUGAAAUGCCAGGGCUUAACCCUGGAACUGCUUUGGAAACUGUGCAGCUAGAGUGCAGGAGAGGUAAGUGGAAUUUCUAGUGUAGCGGUGAAAUGCGUAGAUAUUAGGAGGAACACCAGUGGCGAAGGCGGCUUACUGGACUGUAACUGACGUUGAGGCUCGAAAGCGUGGGGAGCCAACAGGAUUAGAUACCCCCGUA